AGGAUUAACGCUGGCUGCGUGCCUAACACAUGCAAGUCGAACGAGGUAGCAAUACCUAGUGGCAGACGGGUGAGUAACGCGUGGUCAACCUACCGUUGAGUGGGGGACAACUAGCCGAAAGGUUAGCUAAUACCGCAUACGAGUCUCUGGGGCAUCCCUGGGCCUUAAAAGGAGCAAUCCGCUCGAUGACGGGACCGCGUCCCAUUAGCUAGAUGGUGGGGUAAUGGCCUACCAUGGCUCCGAUGGGUAGCUGGUUUGAGAGAGCGACCAGCCACACUGGGACUGAGAAACGGCCCAGACUCCUACGGGAGGCAGCAGUGAGGAAUUUUCCGCAAUGGGCGAAAGCCUGACGGAGCGACGCCGCGUGUGGGAAGAAGGCCUUCGGGUCGUAAACCACUGUCGAAGGGACGAUAAUGACGGUACCUUGGAGGAAGCCCGGCUAACUACGCGCCAGCACCGC
rnacentral:rRNA from 1 species